GACGAACGCUGGCGGCGUGCUUAACACAUGCAAGUCGAACGGAAAGGCCCUGCUUUUGUGGGGUGCUCGAGUGGCGAACGGGUGAGUAACACGUGAGUAACCUGCCCUUGACUUUGGGAUAACUUCAGGAAACUGGGGCUAAUACCGGAUAGGAGCUCCUGCUGCAUGGUGGGGGUUGGAAAGUUUCGGCGGUUGGGGAUGGACUCGCGGCUUAUCAGCUUGUUGGUGGGGUAGUGGCUUACCAAGGCUUUGACGGGUAGCCGGCCUGAGAGGGUGACCGGCCACAUUGGGACUGAGAUACGGCCCAGACUCCUACGGGAGGCAGCAGUGGGGAAUAUUGCACAAUGGGCGGAAGCCUGAUGCAGCAACGCCGCGUGCGGGAUGACGGCCUUCGGGUUGUAAACCGCUUUCGCCUGUGACGAAGCGUGAGUGACGGUAAUGGGUAAAGAAGCACCGGCUAACUACGUGCCAGCAGCCGCGGUGAUACGUAGGGCGCGAGCGUUGUCCGGAUUUAUUGGGCGUAAAGGGCUCGUAGGUGGUUGAUCGCGUCGGAAGUGUAAUCUUGGGGCUUAACCCUGAGCGUGCUUUCGAUACGGGUUGACUUGAGGAAGGUAGGGGAGAAUGAAAUUCCUGGUGGAGCGGUGGAAUGCGCAGAUAUCAGGAGGAACACCAGUGGCGAAGGCGGUUCUCUGGGCCUUUCCUGACGCUGAGGAGCGAAAGCGUGGGGAGCGAACAGGCUUAGAUACCCUGGUAGUCCACGCUGUAAACGGUGGGUACUAGGUGUGGGGUCCAUUCCACGGGUUCCGUGCCGUAGCUAACGCUUUAAGUACCCCGCCUGGGGAGUACGGCCGCAAGGCUAAAACUCAAAGGAAUUGACGGGGCCCCGCACAAGCGGCGGAGCAUGCGGAUUAAUUCGAUGCAACGCGUAGAACCUUACCUGGGUUUGACAUGGAUCGGGAGUGCUCAGAGAUGGGUGUGCCUCUUUUGGGGUCGGUUCACAGGUGGUGCAUGCCUGUCGUCAGCUCGUGUCGUGAGAUGUUGGGUUAAGUCCCGCAACGAGCGCAACCCUUGUUCACUGUUGCCAGCACGUUAUGGUGGGGACUCAGUGGAGACCGCCGGGGUCAACUCGGAGGAAGGUGGGGAUGACGUCAAGUCCUCAUGCCCCUUAUGUCCAGGGCUUCACGCAUGCUACAAUGGCUGGUACAGAGAGUGGCGAGCCUGUGAGGGUGAGCGAAUCUCGGAAAGCCGGUCUCAGUUCGGAUUGGGGUCUGCAACUCGACCUCAUGAAGUCGGAGUCGCUAGUAAUCGCAGAUCAGCAACGCUGCGGUGAAUACGUUCCCGGG
rnacentral:rRNA from 1 species